CAAUCAAGAGUCCUGGACUUAGUGGAAUCAAAUCUAGUCUUGCAAAAUUGCAUAAGGACUAUGGACCUUAUCCUUUUGAUAUUCAAAUUAUUAAAAUAUCUUUGAUGAUGGAAGAAGUCCCAACUAAGCUUUCAGAAGGUGCCAGUUCCUAAGAAAAAACUACAAUGUAAAGGCAGUUCUGAAGUUGUGCCCUGGGAUUGCCACCAUAUCCUUGGAGUUGGAGGAGGAAGAAAACUUUUAGGUUUGAAGUAAUUUGGAGUAGAAGCAAUAGAAAACUAAUACGCAAGGUAAUCGAGAGCACCUGGCAUCUGGAAGAGAGCACAAAAUCAUUUAGCAUCAACAGGUUUCUGCCAAGUAGAAGAACAUGAAAAAUAAUCUAAGCCAAACACUACCAUUUUUUUUUGAAAUUUUGUGUUUGUUUUUAGCAGAAUAGCAGUAGCAGGUAAUUGAAUAAUGAGGUGUCAGUUCUGUUUACUGAGGAAGAUGAUUGCUUGGCAUUCCUGCUUGAAAGUGGGGACUGGUGAUGGUGAGGGAGAAGAUGGAGGAAAGUAAUUCCAUUUUACUACUCCAAAAAGGAAAACUGUGUGAGGUGAUAGGUGUUCAUUAGCUGAAGUGUG